UACGAAGGGGCUAGCGUUGUCCGGAUUUAUUGGGCGUAAAGAGCGUGUAGGCGGCCAGAUAGGUCCGUUGUGAAAACUAGGAGGCUUAACCUCCAGCUGUCGAUGGAACCAUCUGGCUAGAGUCCGGAAGAGGAAGAGUGGAAUUCCUGGGUGUAGCGGUUGAAAUGCGCAGAUAUCGGGAAGGAACACCAGUGGCGAAGGCGGC
rnacentral:rRNA from 1 species